AUUGAACGCUGGCGGCAGGCCUAACACAUGCAAGUCGAACGAGUGGCGGACGGGUGAGUAAUGUCUGGGAAACUGCCCGAUGGAGGGGGAUAAAUACUGGAAACGGUAGCUAAUACCGCAUACCAUCGGAUGUGCCCAGAUGGGAUUAGCUUGUAGGGGAGGUAACGGCUCACCUAGGCGACGAUACCUAGCUGGUCUGAGAGUAUGACCAGCUGAGCGGGAACUGAGACACGGUCCCGACUCCUACGGUAGGCAGAGGUGAGGAAUAUUGCACAAUGGGCGCAAGCCUGAGGCAGCCAUGCCGCGUGUAUGAAGAAGGCCUUCGGGUUGUAAAGUACUUUCAGCUGGGCGGCGUUACCCGCAGAAGAAGCACCGGCUAACUCCGUGCCAGCAGCCGCGGUAAUAC
rnacentral:rRNA from 1 species